AUAUGUUGUGAUUGUUGAUUUGUUGUCUGUGGACAUGGAUAUGAACCGUCUUCGGAAAGCAAAGCAAAGCCGUAAAGUCGUGUUUGUGCGUCCAGUCGGUCCACUGCAAUGAUCUAGUCAACUGCUGCCGGACGGUUUCGACUCGCGACUCGCCAAAUGUUGUAGCCGUCCAUCUUAACCUCCCGGCUCAGCGUGUCAGCGCCGUCCACACGUAUUUAAUUAACACGUUAUUCCUUUCCUCUCGUUUAUCGUAAGUCCUUGGCGGGCGUCCGAACUCGUCUAAUUUUAGGUUGCUUUGCAUGUGACCGACGCUUUGAUGCGGAUUCCCGGAAUUCCGCCUCUUGUGUGGUGAAGCGCAUCGAUACACAAUUGCUUUUGCUACUGUCGUUUCGUUUCGCUACGUUUCGUUCUGGAAUCACUCGCUUAGAUCUUAUCCGAGUCGCUUCCGUGGGGCUCCAACCGUGUGGAUCUCCGUUUUUCUCUGAGUCACUAUUGCCCUAUGGUCUAACAUGUUGUUUUGUGAAAACAGGUGAAAGCUGGACAGGAGUGGCGGCAAGGUGAUUUGGAUUUGGUGAGGAUGCAGUGGUGCAGAGGGGGAUUCAUCAAUCCAUCCAGCUGAUAAGGACCAUCCUGGACGCAGUGAAGCAGAUCUCCUGCCAUUUUUCAGAACUACAACUCCAUGAGUUGUGGCUGGAGAGGAGUGGCGGCCAGGUGAUGUGGUGAGGAUCUAGAGCAGAAUCCGUAAGUCCGUCUAGCUGAUAAAGUGCUGAGCCAUCCUGGAUGCAAUGAAGCAGAUCUGCUGCUGUUCGUUGAAACCACAUCUCCAUGAUCCCAGUGGAUGCAGGACAACCAACAGACUCAGCAGAGUCCCUCUUCCAAGCUCAAAAAAGUAGGGGACCAGCUCUGCUUUUUAUUGGCCAUGCUACCUAUCUCAUCACUGAAGAGAGAAGCAGAAGAAAAUAAUCAAGAAAUAUAAUACUUCAUAGUUUGUGCUGCCUGAAGCUAUUGUCAAAUUAUUUUUAAGUUAGUGAUUUGUAAUUUAUUGUUUGCUCUGCUUUUGCACUCAACCUUUGCUUUGCAUUGGUAAUGGCCAAAUUUGUUUUCACCGACCCUAAACUAACUUCAU